CCCACUCCAAUAUUCAUCCACAAGAAAAAUCAAAGGGAAAUCAAGAUCAACAACACAAAAUUCAUGGAACAAGGUGUAUAAAACUUGAUUGAAAGUUCAUAUCUUUCAAGAAAUCCCAAGGAAGGUGAAGAAGGGUUUUGGUGCAAAAGGAGGAAUUCUACUCCAAGCUUGUUCCACUAUCAUUUGAGGUAUACAUGAGUGCAUCAUAGGGGAAGCAAGCAAGCGAUAAGAAUAGUAAACGUCAAAGGUAGACAGGGAGGUGAGCCUGAUUCAGACUCAUAGGAGCUGGCAGCUGAUUUGAGAGCACUCCAUUGUUCGGAGGUA